GAGAGAGAGAGAGAGAGAGAGAGAGAGAUGGGAAUCGCGAGCAAAGCAGGGGAUCUGGCGUUCAAGUCCUUCACGGCGGCGCUCGGCGUCACCACCGUGUACCUGACGGCGACCUUCUCCGUCAACCUCUACCGCGGCCUCGCUUGGCACAACGCUCACUCGAAAAAAGAUGAGCAAGGCUCUAACGGGGGAUAACUUUUGUCAGUACUGCCAAUUUACAUGCCCAUGGAGCAGCUUCGAUUGCCAUACAAUUUUUGCACCUGCAAUGUGAUCCGUCGAGUUGAAGCAUAAAUCCUGCUGCUUUGGUGAGGAAGCCAUUGGCUUUAUGCAGCUAAUACUUUUUGUUUCUCGGCAUGUUGAACUGCUAGUGAUGUUCUUAUAGGUGGUUAUUUAGGGCUGGUAUUAAAUAACUACUCUUUCUUCCAUUGAUGCCCAUUUUGAUUGUUGCCAUUGAUUGACAAGAUAGUCAUUCAAAAACAUCAUAAAAUAACGGACCAUCCAUAUCGAUGGAAGGGUUAAAUGAGAGCAUUAGUACUAUGAUUCUAUUUUCAC